AUGGGGUGCGCGAGGGGAUCGAGCGGGGCUCGUGUUGUCGUGGGUGGUGGCGGCGCACUGGAGGGAAACGAGGGAGAGGGUGUCAGGCUAGGGUUAGCAGGAGGCUGGACAGGGCUAGGGAUUAGGUGGGCCUGCGGGGAAGGUGGCCUUGGGGCCGGCCCAGUAGAGAGGAGGGGGGUCAGCUGGGCCUUAAGGCAAAAGGGCAGGCCUGGCACGCCUAAGAGGCUGGGCUCUUCUCUCCCUCUAUUUGCUCUAUUCAAAAACAACAGAAAAAGAGGAAGAAAAGGGAAGAAAAGAAAGAUAGAGAAAGAGUUUGGGCACAGGAAUAAAUUUCCCGGACUCGCAAAAAUGCGCAUGUUCCAAGAAAAAUGGAGUAGGCAUUUUUGA
rnacentral:rRNA from 1 species